UAAUUUACUUGAUCUUGACACAAUCCUACUUGGAUAACUGUGGUAAUUCUAGAGCUAAUACAUGCAUUAAAGCUCUGACCUCACGGGAAGAGUGCAUUUAUUAGAACAAAACCAAGCGGCUUCGGCUGUUUUCGGUUGACUCAUAGUAACUGAGCUGAUCGCAUGGUCUUGCACCGGCGACGUGUCUUUCAAGUAUCUGCCGUAUCAACUUUCGAUGGUAGUGUAUCUGACUACCAUGGUGAUCACGCGUAACGGAGAAUAAGGGUUCGGCUCCGGAGAGUUCGCCUGAGAAAUCGCGAACACAUCUAAGGAAGGCAGCAGGCGCGAAAAUUACCCACUCUCAGCACGAGGAGGUAGUGACGAAAAAUAACGAGACCGUUCUCUUAUGAGGCCGGUCAUCGGAAUGGGUACAAUUUAAACCCUUUAACGAGUAUCUAUGAGAGGGCAAGUCUGGUGCCAGCAGCCGCGGUAAUUCCAGCU
rnacentral:rRNA from 1 species